rnacentral:rRNA from 1 species
AAAUUGAAGAGUUUGAUCAUGGCUCAGAUUGAACGCUGGCGGCAGGCCUAACACAUGCAAGUCGAACGGUAACAGGAAGAAGCUUGCUUCUUUGCUGACGAGUGGCGGACGGGUGAGUAAUGUCUGGGAAACUGCCCGAUGGAGGGGGAUAACUACUGGAAACGGUAGCUAAUACCGCAUAACGUCGCAAGACCAAAGAGGGGGACCUUCGGGCCUCUUGCCAUCGGAUGUGCCCAGAUGGGAUUAGCUUGUUGGUGAGGUAACGGCUCACCAAGGCGACGAUCCCUAGCUGGUCUGAGAGGAUGACCAGCCACACUGGAACUGAGACACGGUCCAGACUCCUACGGGAGGCAGCAGUGGGGAAUAUUGCACAAUGGGCGCAAGCCUGAUGCAGCCAUGCCGCGUGUAUGAAGAAGGCCUUCGGGUUGUAAAGUACUUUCAGCGGGGAGGAAGGGAGUAAAGUUAAUACCUUUACUCAUUGACGUUACCCGCAGAAGAAGCACCGGCUAACUCCGUGCCAGCAGCCGCGGUAAUACGGAGGGUGCAAGCGUUAAUCGGAAUUACUGGGCGUAAAGCGCACGCAGGCGGUUUGUUAAGUCAGAUGUGAAAUCCCCGGGCUCAACCUGGGAACUGCAUCUGAUACUGGCAAGCUUGAGUCUCGUAGAGGGGGGUAGAAUUCCAGGUGUAGCGGUGAAAUGCGUAGAGAUCUGGAGGAAUACCGGUGGCGAAGGCGGCCCCCUGGACGAAGACUGACGCUCAGGUGCGAAAGCGUGGGGAGCAAACAGGAUUAGAUACCCUGGUAGUCCACGCCGUAAACGAUGUCGACUUGGAGGUUGUGCCCUUGAGGCGUGGCUUCCGGAGCUAACGCGUUAAGUCGACCGCCUGGGGAGUACGGCCGCAAGGUUAAAACUCAAAUGAAUUGACGGGGGCCCGCACAAGCGGUGGAGCAUGUGGUUUAAUUCGAUGCAACGCGAAGAACCUUACCUGGUCUUGACAUCCACGGAAGUUUUCAGAGAUGAGAAUGUGCCUUCGGGAACCGUGAGACAGGUGCUGCAUGGCUGUCGUCAGCUCGUGUUGUGAAAUGUUGGGUUAAGUCCCGCAACGAGCGCAACCCUUAUCCUUUGUUGCCAGCGGUCCGGCCGGGAACUCAAAGGAGACUGCCAGUGAUAAACUGGAGGAAGGUGGGGAUGACGUCAAGUCAUCAUGGCCCUUACGACCAGGGCUACACACGUGCUACAAUGGCGCAUACAAAGAGAAGCGACCUCGCGAGAGCAAGCGGACCUCAUAAAGUGCGUCGUAGUCCGGAUUGGAGUCUGCAACUCGACUCCAUGAAGUCGGAAUCGCUAGUAAUCGUGGAUCAGAAUGCCACGGUGAAUACGUUCCCGGGCCUUGUACACACCGCCCGUCACACCAUGGGAGUGGGUUGCAAAAGAAGUAGGUAGCUUAACCUUCGGGAGGGCGCUUACCACUUUGUGAUUCAUGACUGGGGUGAAGUCGUAACAAGGUAACCGUAGGGGAACCUGCGGUUGGAUCACCUCCUUA